rnacentral:rRNA from 1 species
CAGUAGCCGCGGUAAUACGGAGGGUGCAAGCGUUAAUCGGAAUUACUGGGCGUAAAGCGCACGCAGGCGGUCUGACAAGUCAGAUGUGAAAUCCCCGGGCUUAACCUGGGAACUGCAUUUGAAACUGUCAGGCUGGAGUCUUGUAGAGGGGGGUGGAAUUCCAGGUGUAGCGGUGAAAUGCGUAGAGAUCUGGAGGAAUACCGGUGGCGAAGGCGGCCCCCUGAACAAAGACUGACGCUCAGGUGCGAAAGCGUGGGGAGCAAACAGGAUUAGAUACCCCGGUAGUCCCUGUCUCUUAUAC